GCAACCCGACUCCACGAAGCUGGAUUCGCUAGUAAUCGCGCAUCAGCCACGGCGCGGUGAAUACGUUCCCGGGCCUUGUACACACCGCCCGUCAAGCCAUGGAAGCCGGGAGUGCCUGAAGUGCGUGACCGCAAGGAGCGUCCUAAGGCAAUACCGGUGACUGGGGCUAAGUCGUAACAAGGUAAC
rnacentral:rRNA from 1 species